rnacentral:rRNA from 1 species
GGCAACCCUGACCGAGCAACGCCGCGUGAAGGAAGAAGGUUUUCGGAUCGUAAAGCUCUGUUGUAAGUCAAGAACGAGUGUGAGAGUGGAAAGUUCACACUGUGACGGUAGCUUACCAGAAAGGGACGGCUAACUACGUGCCAGCAGCCGCGGUAAUACGUAGGUCCCGAGCGUUGUCCGGAUUUAUUGGGCGUAAAGCGAGCGCAGGCGGUUUGAUAAGUCUGAAGUUAAAGGCUGUGGCUCAACCAUAGUUCGCUUUGGAAACUGUCAAACUUGAGUUCAGAAGAGGAGAGUGGAAUUCCUAGUGUAGCGGUGAAAUGCGUAGAUAUAUGGAGGAACACCGGUGGCGAAAGCGGCUCUCUGGUCUGUAACUGACGCUGAGGCUCGAAAGCGUGGGGAGCGAACAGGAUUAGAUACCCUGGUAGUCCACGCCGUAAACGAUGAGUGCUAGGUGUUGGAUCCUUUCCGGGAUUCAGUGCCGCAGCUAACGCAUUAAGCACUCCGCCUGGGGAGUACGACCGCAAGGUUGAAACUCAAAGGAAUUGACGGGGGCCCGCACAAGCGGUGGAGCAUGUGGUUUAAUUCGAAGCAACGCGAAGAACCUUACCAGGUCUUGACAUCGAUCUAAAGGCUCCAGAGAUGGAGAGAUAGCUAUAGAGAAGACAGGUGGUGCAUGGUUGUCGUCAGCUCGUGUCGUGAGAUGUUGGGUUAAGUCCCGCAACGAGCGCAACCCCUGUUGCCAGUUGCCAGCAUUAAGUUGGGGACUCUGGCGAGACUGCCGGUGACAAGCCGGAGGAAGGCGGGGAUGACGUCAAAUCAUCAUGCCCCUUAUGACCUGGGCUACACACGUGCUACAAUGGACAGAGCAGAGGGAAGCGAAGCCGCGAGGUGGAGCGAAACCCAUAAAACUGUUCUCAGUUCGGACUGCAGUCUGCAACUCGACUGCACGAAGAUGGAAUCGCUAGUAAUCGCGAAUCAGCAUGUCGCGGUGAAUACGUUCUCGGGCCUUGUACACACCGCCCGUCACACCAUGAGAGUCGGUAACACCCGAAGCCGGUGGCCUAACCGCAAGGAAGGAGCUGUCUAAGGUGGGACUGAUGAUUGGGGUGAAGUCGUAACAAGGUAUCCCUACGGGAACGUGGGGAUG